CAGGAAUGUUGUAGCCAAAUAUUUUGGUAUCUUGGGUUGAUUGUCGGGGUAUUAACAAAGGAACUGGAAGAUGUAGCCUUAAAGUCUCCUUGACCACUGCUUUCAGGUAUUGCAGUAGCAAAUAGAGGGAGCUUCCUAUGGGCGGUUAGGCCAAUGCAUUCACUCAUAUCUAAAGUCUCACCAUCUGCUCCUCCGGGUAGCAUCCAGUUGAACUUAUACAUGAGGUUCAUCCCAAGAAGCAGGAUCUCUGUGGAUAGCCCAUGCAUUAGUUAUAACUGUGAUACCUGCUGGAAUAUCAUACCCGUUAAUCUUGGUGUCGUGCAUUGAUUUUCUUGGAGCCAGCAAAGGAAUCGGAGGAUGUAGACGAAGGGUCUCCUUGAUCACUGCUUUUAAGUAUUUCAUCUGAUCCAAAUCAUCUUCAUUAACAUAUGAUUUUUCUCCGGGGUGCAGUCGUGCAGAGCCUUCAGUUUCCUGCAGCUGGUAUACAAGCUUUUGAUACAGCUGUAGUAUUCCUGCACAAAGUGAUCCCAAAGCUCUCACUCAUGUCCAAGUUCUCACCUUUUGCUUCACCAGGCAACACCUAAUUAAACUCACCCAUGAGAUUUUGUUAAAUACGGGUCUGGGCCGCACCCGUCACGGGAGAGUGCAAGUCCACCACUUUUACAAGACCAAGGAGGUUCCACCUCAAAACCAUAUGGCUAAUUAUUUAUGAGAGAAUAGAAUAGCUAUUUGUAUUGCUUGAUUAUUAUUGAUCAAUAGGUUGAGUAUUUAUACAAAACCUAUGCUCAUAAGAUAGGAAACAAUCUUCCCAUAAGAUAUACCAUAUAUCCUAAUGAUAUAUUCACUAAAUCAUAUCUUAACAUAAAAUAAACCUAAAUAUAUUAUUCCUUUAAUGAUAUCUACGGAAAAUAUAUCACACAAUAUUUUCCGAUAUCUCAUAUCUUAACACCCUCCCGCAAUCGUAACGGCAGUAAUACGAACGUUGCGAUUGGAAAUUCUUCAAUUUGUUAGAAGCCGAGAUGCACACUCUUGUGAUGUCGCCUUCACAAAAAAAAAAAAAAAAACUUCAAUGAUGAGAACGUUCAUCUUUUCGAACUCAUCUGUCAUCAAUCAAAGAGGAACGUCAUUCUUUUCGAACCUGUAAAUAUAACAAUUUUUGGUUUUUCUAGAGCAAAACUGAGCUCCAAUCAAAUAUUGGUUUUUUUAGAGUAAACCACACUCAAAUCUUUUGGUCUUUUCGAGUAAACCACACUCAAAUCUUUUGG